rnacentral:rRNA from 1 species
CUACGGGAGGCAGCAGUGGGGAAUCUUGCACAAUGGGCGAAAGCCUGAUCCAGCCAUGCCGCGUGAGUGAUGAAGGCCUUAGGGUUGUAAAGCUCUUUUGUCCGGGACGAUAAUGACGGUACCGGAAGAAUAAGCCCCGGCUAACUUCGUGCCAGCAGCCGCGGUAAUACGAAGGGGGCUAGCGUUGUUCGGAAUUACUGGGCGUAAAGCGCGCGUAGGUGGUUUGUUAAGUCAGAUGUGAAAGCCCAGGGCUCAACCUUGGAACUGCACCUGAUACUGGCAGGCUAGAGUAUGGUAGAGGGAGGUAGAAUUCCACGUGUAGCGGUGAAAUGCGUAGAGAUGUGGAGGAAUACCAGUGGCGAAGGCGGCCUCCUGGACUAAUACUGACACUGAGGCGCGAAAGCGUGGGGAGCAAACAGGAUUAGAUACCCUGG